UACAGAGGGGGCAAGCGUUGUUCGGAAUUACUGGGCGUAAAGGGCGCGUAGGCGGCCUGUUAAGUCGAACGUGAAAUCCCCGGGCUCAACCUGGGAAUGGCAUUUGGGACUGCAAGGCUGGAGUUUGGCAGAGGAGACUGGAAUUCCUGGUGUAGCAGUGAAAUGCGUAGAUAUCAGGAGGAAUACCGAUGGCGAAGGCAGGUCUCUGGGCUAUAACUGACGCUCAUGCACGAAAGCGUGGGGAGCAAACAGG
rnacentral:rRNA from 1 species